UUUUGAAAAAUACACUAUUUAGUCGUAUUUUAUUUCUGUUAAACUAUUUAGUCCCUCCAUUAAAUUUUCUGUUAGUCGAAGGGUUUUAGUGCCAAUCAAACUACUAUUUAAUCCCUCUAUUUUAGUGAAAUUAAAUAAUUGGUCCAUGCAUUGUGAAAAAUACAUUAGUUAGUCCAUAUAAUUUGAUUUCGUUAACUUUUUAGUCCCUCCUUUUUUAUACCCAAAUUUUCCUGACUCUUUCCCCCUUAUUUCUCUCUUACCCUCUCUGUUUUCUCCCCCCAUAUUUUUUCUUCUUUGUAUCCACACCCUUCUUUAUCUCAUUCUCUUCGUAUUUCCUUUUAAUAGAAAUUAGUGCAAGAUAUAUGCGUAAAAAAGUUAAUCAAUUCUUGUAUAUCUCUAAGUAAUCAAUGCAAUAAUCUAGAAAAUUUAUUUUCGAUAGAGAAAAUACAAAAAUGAUGCCUAGGAAAUUGAAUGAAAAUAGUUUCAAAUUUUAACAAAAAAAAAGUUCAGAUUUAUUCUCCAUACAACAAAAUUUUCAUUUUCAUUCAGGAAUAUAUUUUUCAAAAUAUUAUAUUUUCAAAAUGUCAGGACUAACUA
rnacentral:misc_RNA from 1 species